rnacentral:rRNA from 1 species
ACUCCAACCCCUGUGACAUACCUUAAUGUUGCCUCGGCGGAUCAGCCCGCGCCCCGUAAAACGGGACGGCCCGCCAGAGGACCCAAACUCUAAUGUUUCUUAUUGUAACUUCUGAGUAAAACAAACAAAUAAAUCAAAACUUUCAACAACGGAUCUCUUGGUUCUGGCAUCGAUGAAGAACGCAGCAAAAUGCGAUAAGUAAUGUGAAUUGCAGAAUUCAGUGAAUCAUCGAAUCUUUGAACGCACAUUGCGCCCGCUGGUAUUCCGGCGGGCAUGCCUGUUCGAGCGUCAUUUCAACCCUCAAGCCCCCGGGUUUGGUGUUGGGGAUCGGCUCUGCCUUACGGCGGUGCCGCCCCCGAAAUACAUUGGCGGUCUCGCUGCAGCCUCCAUUGCGUAGUAGCUAACACCUCGCAACUGGAACGCGGCGCGGCCAUGCCGUAAAACCCCAACUUCUGAAUGUUGACCUCGGAUCAGGUAGGAAUACCCGCUGAACUUAAGCAUAUAUAANCCCGGAGGAAA